rnacentral:rRNA from 1 species
CGGGUGAGUAACGCGUGAGGAACCUGCUCAAGAGGGGACGAACAGUUGGAAACGACUGCUAAUACCGCAUAAGCCCACGGCUCGGCAUCGAGCAGAGGGAAAAGGAGUGAUCCGCUUUGAGAUGGCCUCGCGUCCGAUUAGCUAGUUGGUGAGGUAACGGCCCACCAAGGCACGAUCGGUAGCCGGACUGAGAGGUUGAACGGCCACAUUGGGACUGAGACACGGCCCAG